UACGGGAAGCAGCAGUGGGGAAGUAUUGCACAAUGGGCGCAAGCCUGAUGCAGCCAUGCCGCGUGUAUGAAAAGGACCUUCGGGUUGUAAAGUACUUUCAGUCGUGAGGAAGGUGUUAAGGUUAAUAACCUUAGCAAUUGACGUUAGCGACAGAAGAAGCACCGGCUAACUCCGUGCCAGCAGCCGCGGUAAUACGGAGGGUGCGAGCGUUAAUCGGAAUUACUGGGCGUAAAGGGCACGCAGGCGGUUAAUUAAAGUUGGAUGUGAAAUCCCCGGGCUUAACCUGGGAAUGGCAUUCAAGACUGGUUAGCUAGAGUCUUGUAGAGGGGGUAGAAUUCCAUGUGUAGCGGUGAAAUGCGUAGAGAUGUGGAGGAAAUACCGGUGGCGAAAGGCGGCCCCUGGACAAAAGACUGACGCUCAUGUGCGAAAAGCGUGGGGAGCAAAACAGGGAUUAGAUACC
rnacentral:rRNA from 1 species